rnacentral:lncRNA from 1 species
AUGCUUAUAGCUGCAUCGCCAAGGCUCUCCUCAGACCAAGAGAGGAACAGGUCCACAACAGAAGAGGCUUAUUCUGUUCAAGAUAUCCAGAUGUCCUCAAAAUGCAAUUCUGGAAUCUUUGCUGCAAAGGAUGGAGAUGCACUUGAUGACCUUACUGGACCUUUUUCAACUCCUUGUUCAGCGUACGAGUCAAUGACUAACUGCACUGCUGCAGAACUGGAGCUCUAUGGAAACCAACAAAUAAUAAAGUCCCAAUCUUUACUUCAAUGUCCGACUGUAAUGAAAUCAACAACAGAGCCUGACACACACCGUCUUAUUAACAUGCCCCCGAAGCCACAAGGUGAGGAAUUUGUUUACUCUAAAGGGCUUACAGACGUCCAAUCUGAGGAACUACAUCAUUCCCUGGAGACAGCUGGACAGACAGAUGAGUGUUGUAGCUGCUCGAGAAACGAUUCGAAUGAGUCCACACUCCUAAAACUACCGGCUCAUUCAGAAGAAGCACAAAGUACUUUAAAGACGCAAUCAGCACAAUCACAGCUUCAACAGACUUCUGCUAGUAUGUCAACACACCAUACUAACAUCUCGGAGCUAUCAGCGUUUCAAGCAAAAAAGUAUUGCGGCUCCUCAAACUCUGAAACACUUCCGUCAAAGGAGCACUUUGACCCUUUAUUGGGAAUUUCUGUCCAGCCAGUGAGGCAAUCUGGAUCCAAAAAGAUGUCAGAAAAUCCUCUAGAUCGUUCCCAAACUGAAGGUCUAGUUUCAGGGAGCCCAUGUCAAUUGUUGCAGUUUUCAUCUGACCAAACAGAAAACAUAGAUAGACACUUGCAGAAAUCUACUGCCGUCUCUGAAAAACUCUGUGACCAUUCAAAUGUCGCAACUCUUCAACAAAAGGACAAAUUAAAGACAGAAGAAGUAGAUACUUCCCAUGAAGAACAUAGCAAAGUGUCUCCAUCUAUCAAAGUGGAUGACAUCCAUCACACAAGACAGACACCUUCUAAUCACUCACAGUUGCUGUGUAAGUCACGUCAGGAGGCAACAGUUCAUGCAGAGUGUCAUCACCCAAUGGAGACUGCAAAAGAUCAAGAGGAGAGCAUGGUUAUCUGUGCUGAAAGAUCAUCCAAACACUUGGCAGACCUUUUCCACACCAAGGACGUAUCUACUCUCCAGUCAGAGGAGAUUUAUCUAUCAAGGAUGUGUGACAGUCACUGGGGUGACGCUGUCGCUGCAAAUAAGGUGGCUGUUGAAGGUGAUUUAAAUGGUUAG